rnacentral:rRNA from 1 species
UACGUAGGUGGCGAGCGUUGUCCGGAUUUACUGGGCGUAAAGAGCGCGCAGGCGGUCGUACAAGUCGCGUGUGAAAGCCCCCGGCUCAACUGGGGAGGGUCACGCGAUACUGUUCGACUCGAAGGCAGGAGAGGGUAGUGGAAUUCCCGGUGUAGUGGUGAAAUGCGUAGAUAUCGGGAGGAACACCAGUGGCGAAGGCGACUACCUGGCCUGUUCUUGACGCUGAGGAGCGAAAGCGUGGGGAGCGAACAGG